UGUGGGUCUCUGGACAGCCUCGCAGACAUGCCUGUGCCUCCUCUGCGCAGGGCUCCCGGGAGCCGGGGGAGAUGCUGCCCCGGAAGCUGAAGCA